AUUGAACGCUGGCGGCAUGCUUUACACAUGCAAGUCGAACGGAUUUUGGAGCUUGCUCCAGAGGUAGUGGCGAACGGGUGAGUAAUAUAUAGGAACGUACCCGGCAAUGGGGGAUAACGUAGCGAAAGUUACGCGAAUAUCGCAUAUGCGCUGAGGGGGAAAGCAGGGGACAAGUCAUGGCCUUGCGUGGUCGGAGCGGCCGAUAUCGGAUUAGCUAGUUGGUGAGGUAAAGGCCCACCAAGGCGACGAUCCGUAGCGGGUCUGAGAGGAUGAACGGCCACACUGGGACUGAGACACGGCCCAGACUCCUACGGGAGGCAGCAGUGGGGAAUUUUGGGCAAUGGGCGAAAGCCUGAUCCAGCCAUGCCGCGUGAGUGAAGAAGGCCUUCGGGUUGUAAAGUACUUUCGGCGGGGAGGAAGGCGGUGAAGUUAAUAACUUCACCGAUUGACGGUACCCGAAGAAGAAGCACCGGCUAACUCCGUGCCAGCCGCCGCCGUAA
rnacentral:rRNA from 1 species